GUGGGGGUUGAUCAGGAAUUCUGAGAUUUGUAAGCGCUGCUUUCUUUAACGGAAAUUGAGCUCUAUUUUGAGGGAAAUUAGUUUUGCAGACUUCGUUUAAAAAAAAAAACUAAAACUUUUGUUCACCAGCUGCUCAGCUUUUCAGUCUGGGUCUGAGCUGAAACCUGCUGCAAGUCUGACGGUACCAAAUUACAUAUAUAUAUCUGUCAAAAUGAUGUAGGACCUAAAGUCUCUCUGUAAGUUGAUCCUUUUGACCCCAUGAUUAGGAGCUUCACAAUGUGGUACCACACCUGGAAACCUCCAGAACAAGAUCUCAAGGAAACACAGGAAAUUCCUGAAACAGCAAAACCCCCUACGUGAAGACGUCUGUUAUUCCUUUGUGUAUCAGGAGCAUCACUGUUAAUUAACUGUUGAUACACUUAAAACAGCUUGGUUGGCAAUGUCCUUUUUGAAUAAAGAAGAGCCAGGUGUGUUUUACAGGAUGAACUAGACAAUGCUGCCACAAGUUUACCUCUACGUCUUAUUGCCUUGGAAAAAUUUCCUGCAUAUCGUGGCACAAGAUGGUUGGCUCUCCAGGCAGCAGUUGGCGUUGUGAAUCAGUCAUCUCAGCAUGUGUCUCCAAGAUCCCACAGCAGGGGGAAAAAGAGGUGGAGGGUCACAUGCCUGGUGUUACAUACUUUGAGGCAGAGGUGGUAGGUGCCAUUUCUGCUCACAGCUCAUGGACCAGAACAAAGCCAUGCAUACCUGAGAGAGGACCAGAAAAUAUUCUGAAGCAGAGGGCUAUUUGGUGAGCAGUAAAUGUUUCUGUUACAACAGGUUUUGACAAACGUCAAAUGUACUCCUACUAGGCCUACUUCACACCAGUAAACUCUGUACUUCCUGUUGCUUGAUGGCAUCUUAUGCUGAUGUUUUCUAUCAUAGUGUCCGGCACAAA
rnacentral:lncRNA from 1 species